rnacentral:rRNA from 1 species
GUGUUAGUGGAAGCGUCUGGAAAGGCGCGCGAUACAGGGUGACAGCCCCGUACACAAAAAUGCACAUACUGUGAGCUCGAUGAGUAGGGCGGGACACGUGGUAUCCUGUCUGAAUAUGGGGGGACCAUCCUCCAAGGCUAAAUACUCCUGACUGACCGAUAGUGAACCAGUACCGUGAGGGAAAGGCGAAAAGAACCCCGGCGAGGGGAGUGAAAAAGAACCUGAAACCGUGUACGUACAAGCAGUGGGAGCACGCUUCGGCGUGUGACUGCGUACCUUUUGUAUAAUGGGUCAGCGACUUAUAUUCUGUAGCAAGGUUAACCGAAUAGGGGAGCCGAAGGGAAACCGAGUCUUAACUGGGCGUUAAGUUGCAGGGUAUAGACCCGAAACCCGGUGAUCUAGCCAUGGGCAGGUUGAAGGUUGGGUAACACUAACUGGAGGACCGAACCGACUAAUGUUGAAAAAUUAGCGGAUGACUUGUGGCUGGGGGUGAAAGGCCAAUCAAACCGGGAGAUAGCUGGUUCUCCCCGAAAGCUAUUUAGGUAGCGCCUCGUGAAUUCAUCUCCGGGGGUAGAGCACUGUUUCGGCAAGGGGGUCAUCCCGACUUACCAACCCGAUGCAAACUGCGAAUACCGGAGAAUGUUAUCACGGGAGACACACGGCGGGUGCUAACGUCCGUCGUGAAGAGGGAAACAACCCAGACCGCCAGCUAAGGUCCCAAAGUCAUGGUUAAGUGGGAAACGAUGUGGGAAGGCCCAGACAGCCAGGAUGUUGGCUUAGAAGCAGCCAUCAUUUAAAGAAAGCGUAAUAGCUCACUGGUCGAGUCGGCCUGCGCGGAAGAUGUAACGGGGCUAAACCAUGCACCGAAGCUGCGGCAGCGACACUAUGUGUUGUUGGGUAGGGGAGCGU